UACGUAGGGUGCGAGCGUUGUCCGGAAUUACUGGGCGUAAAGAGUUCGUAGGCGGUUUGUCGCGUCGUUCGUGAAAACUUGGGGCUUAACUCCAAGCGUGCGGGCGAUACGGGCAGACUUGAGUACUACAGGGGAGACUGGAAUUCCUGGUGUAGCGGUGAAAUGCGCAGAUAUCAGGAGGAACACCGGUGGCGAAGGCGGGUCUCUGGGUAGUAACUGACGCUGAGGAACGAAAGCGUGGGUAGCGAACAG
rnacentral:rRNA from 1 species